rnacentral:rRNA from 1 species
UGGGGAAUAUUGGACAAUGGGCGAAAGCCUGAUCCAGCCAUGCCGCGUGUGUGAAGAAGGUCUUCGGAUUGUAAAGCACUUUAAGUUGGGAGGAAGGGCAGUAAGCGAAUACCUUGCUGUUUUGACGUUACCGACAGAAUAAGCACCGGCUAACUCUGUGCCAGCAGCCGCGGUAAUACAGAGGGUGCAAGCGUUAAUCGGAAUUACUGGGCGUAAAGCGCGCGUAGGUGGUUCGUUAAGUUGGAUGUGAAAGCCCCGGGCUCAACCUGGGAACUGCAUCCAAAACUGGCGAGCUAGAGUAGGGCAGAGGGUGGUGGAAUUUCCUGUGUAGCGGUGAAAUGCGUAGAUAUAGGAAGGAACAACAGUGGCGAAGGCGACCACCUGGGCUAAUACUGACACUGAGGUGCGAAAGCGUGGGGAGCAAACAGG